GCAGAUGGCCGGAUGGCCGCCGCCGCCCCAUGGGCGGGGGAGGAAAGUCCGGGCUCCACGGAAACACGGUGCCGGUUAACGGCCGGCGAAGGCGACUUCAGGGACAGUGCCACAGAAAGCAAACCGCCUGUCUUGCGGCAGGUAAGGGUGAAAGGGUGCGGUAAGAGCGCACCGCGCCCCUGGUAACAGGGGUGGCAGGGUAAACCCCACCGGGAGCAAAACCAAUAGGGAUGGUUGCUGGCAACAGCAGGCGGGUUUCCGCGCCACCGUCCGGGUCGGUUGCUUGAGCCUGUCGGCAACGGCAGGCCUAGAGGAAUGGCCAUCCAUCCGCGCCAUGCGGAGGACAGAACCCGGCUUACAGGCCAUCUGCUUCC
rnacentral:RNase_P_RNA from 1 species